GAUUGCCCUGUUAGCUUCAUCUCAUGAUUGUCUGGCAAAUCCAAAUAAAUGUAAUUAAAUAUUAAAGAAUUGGGCAAGCAGUGAUGGAAUAAAUACCACAGACCCUGUACAGAUCUUAGGGUGAGAUUUGUUUGCCUGUGUUUAACAGAUGUACACUGUUUACCUGAUGAUAAAGUGUUUGCUGCCCUGAAUGCAAGUGACUGUUGAGAGGUCUUUGAACAGAAACACGAAUUUUGCCACCACUGUGAGCAAGAUCAAGAUCUUUGGUGCUCAGACACAAAGAAGGAUGCUGCCCCUCUCCCUGUCCCUCUGCAGCACUGUAAGAAAAGCAAUACAGUCAUCUGUGGGCUCAGAGGGAAAAAAAGCAGUACAAAAUUUGCGUGUCAUUUGCUGUUCAGAUGAGGCUUAUAUCUCACUUGCUGAAGCUAAAGGCAAACCCCAGUAACUGCACAGAGCACAGAAAUGAAACAGCAGUUUCAGUGUAAGAGAGACUUAAAAGCAUGGUGUCUAGAAGAAACAUAUACUACCAAAAUAUUUCUCUUUUAUUCCUGGUUUCAC